CCUACGGGUGGCUGCAGUGGGGAAUAUUGGACAAUGGGCGCAAGCCUGAUCCAGCAAUACCGCGUGUGUGAAGAAGGCCUUAGGGUUGUAAAGCACUUUCAAUGGGGAGGAAAACCUACCGGUCAAUACCCGGUAGCUUGACAUUACCUGUAGAAGAAGCACCGGCUAACUCCGUGCCAGCAGCCGCGGUAAUACGGAGCGUAAUUACGUUAAUCGGAAUUUCUGUGCGCGAAUCGUUAAGUCACAUGUCAAAGCCCCGGGCUUAACCUGGGAACUGCAUUUGAAACUGGCGGACUAGAGUUGAGUAGAGGGGAGUGGAAUUUCAGGUGUAGCGGUGAAAUGCGUAGAUAUCUGAAGGAACACCAGUGGCGAAGGCGACUCCCUGGACUCAAACUGACGCUGAGGUACGAAAGCGUGGGUAGCAAACAGGAUUAGAUACCCUGGUAGUC
rnacentral:rRNA from 1 species